AUCCGCGUAGCUUCGGUGUAUCCGUUGCUGACACUAAUGCUUACUUUUAUCUCCCAUCCCGUCUUCAAACUCAAACCUCAUUCUGGCUUCUGCGAUCAAUCACCUUUUGGGCUUUUCCGGUUGGCCAGGCUGCCUGCCGGCUUUGACACGAGCGCCUCUCAGCCCUGAGUGUAGAGUUCAAUCUUUGUCAUCACGCAAAUAGUGUAAGAACGGCCAGUAGAAACAUUCCAGGAAAUUGUUCAAUCUCGUGAAGAAAGACAGUUUUCAGAGUAACAGUGGUUUGGAGUUAAGCACAUCUGAAUUGUCCAGAAAAUCACUGCAGUUCCGCAUUUCACUAAGCUAAUAUAAGAAUGGCCUCAGGACAAGUUUUAGAUGAAGCAAACUGAGAUGAAACUAGAAAGAAGGUAAAAUUCUACUUUCUU